rnacentral:lncRNA from 12 species
GCAAGCUCGAACAAAUUAGCCCUGGAGAACAAUGGACAGUGGAUCAAAGUAGGGCCACCCUCACAUCCAUAUAAAGUGUGACUCUCCACACCUGCCUUCUAGAAAAAGAUUUCCUGGUUGAGGGAAAGAGAAGGGUAACUAAAGGUCAGACAGAGGUCGAUCUUCCACAAAGAAUUUUGCCUUUAAAGCCAGAUAUGUGAACUGGGACAGUCUGGCCUGUAGGUGGGCGGCAGGGAGCAUAGGGAUUCCGUUUCCAUGUAUCUGAUUUAGGACCCAAUAUCCUUGUGUUUAAAAGGUUUCCCUAUUGAUUUUUCUGCCAAAGAUGUCUAAUUCCAUUCAAAAGCCUUGGGUUUCCUAUUUGCCUUAUAUACUCAGCCUCCGGCUCAUAUUCAGAGCUCUGGAAAGUUCAGUGCUUGUGUUCAGCACAUUAAGAAUCCCAAUACAUUAACAAAGGCAAUGUUCCCAUCAAGUGAAAGUUUUGCUUAAUCUAAGUGUAAGAAAUACACUAUAGGACUGACCAUUCCGGGACGCCUGGGUGGCUCAGCGGUUGAGCACCUGCCCCUGGCUCAGGAUGUGAUCCGCGGUCUCAGGAUCGAGUCCCACAUCAGGCUCCCUGCCUGGAGCCUGCUUCUCCCUCUGCCUAUGUCUCUGCCUUUUUCUCUGUCUUUCAUGAAUAAAUAAAAUCUUAAAAAAAGAAGAAGAAGAAGAACUGACCAUUCCCAUAAACAUAUUUGAAAAACAUGCAAUUUCUCUUCAUCCCACCUCUGGCUCUGAGCUCUGCCCACUGCCCCUUCUGUCUGGCUCUGUUUGUCUGAAGUCCUCUCCGGCCCCACCCAGCUGAGAGGGCCCCAGGGAGAUGCACCAGAGCAGAAUGGUGUUGACAUUUCAUUGGUCAAGGGUGAUGUCAUGCUCUAAAUAUUUGACUCUGGAGAUUAGAGUAAUUGAAAACACGCUUUCAUUCUCUAAACACCCCUGUGACACUGUCUCUUACAUCGGCCUUAUUUUCCUCCAAGUACAAUUGUCAGUAUAUCGAUGUUUUCCUGAAUAUAGGGUUUUAUUCUCUCCUCUUCAUAUGGGACGGCCGUAUUCAAUGACUAACCGAUUAGCUGAUGCAUCCCCAUCUUACGUUGCCCAACGGCCCUUAAUCUCUGUUCACUGGAUAUUUCAGGAAAACGUAUGCACGAGCAUGAGCAUGGGCACGUGUGUGUGCUGCGCGUGCGCACCUGCACUGAUCUGA